GGGUUGUGAGGUUAAGCGACUAAGCGUACACGGUGGAUGCCCUGGCAGUCAGAGGCGAUGAAGGGCGUGCUAAUCUGCGAUAAGCGCCGGUAAGGUGAUAUGAACCGUUAUAACCGGCGAUACCCGAAUGGGGAAACCCAGUGUGAUUCGUCACACUAUCAUUAACUGAAUCCAUAGGUUAAUGAGGCGAACCGGGGGAACUGAAACAUCUAAGUACCCCGAGGAAAAGAAAUCAACCGAGAUUCCCCCAGUAGCGGCGAGCGAACGGGGAGGAGCCCAGAGCCUGAAUCAGCAUGUGUGUUAGUGGAAGCGUCUGGAAAGGCGCGCGAUACAGGGUGACAGCCCCGUACACAAAAGCGCAUGUGCUGUGAGCUCGAUGAGUAGGGCGGGACACGUGGUAUCCUGUCUGAAUAUGGGGGGACCAUCCUCCAAGGCUAAAUACUCCUGACUGACCGAUAGUGAACCAGUACCGUGAGGGAAAGGCGAAAAGAACCCCGGCGAGGGGAGUGAAAAAGAACCUGAAACCGUGUACGUACAAGCAGUGGGAGCACAGGUUUACCUGUGUGACUGCGUACCUUUUGUAUAAUGGGUCAGCGACUUAUAUUCUGUAGCAAGGUUAACCGUAUAGGGGAGCCGGAGGGAAACCGAGUCUUAACCGGGCGUUAAGUUGCAGGGUAUAGACCCGAAACCCGGUGAUCUAGCCAUGGGCAGGUUGAAGGUUGGGUAACACUAACUGGAGGACCGAACCGACUAAUGUUGAAAAAUUAGCGGAUGACCUGUGGCUGGGGGUGAAAGGCCAAUCAAACCGGGAGAUAGCUGGUUCUCCCCGAAAGCUAUUUAGGUAGCGCCUCGUGAAUUCAUCUCCGGGGGUAGAGCACUGUUUCGGCUAGGGGGCCAUCCCGGCUUACCAACCCGAUGCAAACUGCGAAUACCGGAGAAUGUUAUCACGGGAGACACACGGCGGGUGCUAACGUCCGUCGUGAAGAGGGAAACAACCCAGACCGCCAGCUAAGGUCCCAAAGUCAUGGUUAAGUGGGAAACGAUGUGGGAAGGCCCAGACAGCCAGGAUGUUGGCUUAGAAGCAGCCAUCAUUUAAAGAAAGCGUAAUAGCUCACUGGUCGAGUCGGCCUGCGCGGAAGAUGUAACGGGGCUAAACCAUGCACCGAAGCUGCGGCAGCGAACGUAUCACUUAAAGCGAUUCAGCGGAUGACGAUUGACGGAGCGAAGCGACGUCAAAGCGUAUACAAAGUCGAGUCGGUUUAAGGAUACGUUCGUUGGGUAGGGGAGCGUUCUGUAAGCCUGCGAAGGUGGCCUGUGAGGGUUGCUGGAGGUAUCAGAAGUGCGAAUGCUGACAUAAGUAACGAUAAAGCGGGUGAAAAGCCCGCUCGCCGGAAGACCAAGGGUUCCUGUCCAACGUUAAUCGGGGCAGGGUGAGUCGACCCCUAAGGCGAGGCCGAAAGGCGUAGUCGAUGGGAAACGGGUUAAUAUUCCCGUACUUGGUGUUACUGCGAAGGGGGGACGGAGAAGGCUAUGUUGGCCGGGCGACGGUUGUCCCGGUUUAAGCGUGUAGGUGUGUGUUCCAGGUAAAUCCGGUUCACUUUAACACUGAGGCGUGACGACGAGGCACUACGGUGCUGAAGCAACAAAUGCCCUGCUUCCAGGAAAAGCCUCUAAGCAUCAGGUAACAUCAAAUCGUACCCCAAACCGACACAGGUGGUCAGGUAGAGAAUACCAAGGCGCUUGAGAGAACUCGGGUGAAGGAACUAGGCAAAAUGGUGCCGUAACUUCGGGAGAAGGCACGCUGACAUGUAGGUGAAGUGAUUUACUCAUGGAGCUGAAGUCAGUCGAAGAUACCAGCUGGCUGCAACUGUUUAUUAAAAACACAGCACUGUGCAAACACGAAAGUGGACGUAUACGGUGUGACGCCUGCCCGGUGCCGGAAGGUUAAUUGAUGGGGUCAGCGCAAGCGAAGCUCCUGAUCGAAGCCCCGGUAAACGGCGGCCGUAACUAUAACGGUCCUAAGGUAGCGAAAUUCCUUGUCGGGUAAGUUCCGACCUGCACGAAUGGCGUAAUGAUGGCCAGGCUGUCUCCACCCGAGACUCAGUGAAAUUGAACUCGCUGUGAAGAUGCAGUGUACCCGCGGCAAGACGGAAAGACCCCGUGAACCUUUACUAUAGCUUGACACUGAACAUUGAGCCUUGAUGUGUAGGAUAGGUGGGAGGCUUUGAAGCGUGGACGCCAGUCUGCGUGGAGCCGACCUUGAAAUACCACCCUUUAAUGUUUGAUGUUCUAACGUGGACCCGUUACCCGGGUUGCGGACAGUGUCUGGUGGGUAGUUUGACUGGGGCGGUCUCCUCCUAAAGAGUAACGGAGGAGCACGAAGGUUGGCUAAUCCUGGUCGGACAUCAGGAGGUUAGUGCAAUGGCAUAAGCCAGCUUGACUGCGAGCGUGACGGCGCGAGCAGGUGCGAAAGCAGGUCAUAGUGAUCCGGUGGUUCUGAAUGGAAGGGCCAUCGCUCAACGGAUAAAAGGUACUCCGGGGAUAACAGGCUGAUACCGCCCAAGAGUUCAUAUCGACGGCGGUGUUUGGCACCUCGAUGUCGGCUCAUCACAUCCUGGGGCUGAAGUAGGUCCCAAGGGUAUGGCUGUUCGCCAUUUAAAGUGGUACGCGAGCUGGGUUUAGAACGUCGUGAGACAGUUCGGUCCCUAUCUGCCGUGGGCGCUGGAGAACUGAGGGGGGCUGCUCCUAGUACGAGAGGACCGGAGUGGACGCAUCACUGGUGUUCGGGUUGUCAUGCCAAUGGCACUGCCCGGUAGCUAAAUGCGGAAGAGAUAAGUGCUGAAAGCAUCUAAGCACGAAACUUGCCCCGAGAUGAGUUCUCCCUGAGACUUAGAGUCUCCUGAAGGAACGUUGAAGACGACGACGUUGAUAGGCCGGGUGUGUAAGCGCAGCGAUGCGUUGAGCUAACCGGUACUAAUGAACCGUGAGGCUUAACCUUACAACGCCGAAG
rnacentral:rRNA from 1 species